rnacentral:rRNA from 1 species
AUUGAACGCUGGCGGCAGGCCUAACACAUGCAAGUCGAGCGAGCGGCGGACGGGUGAGUAAUGUAUGGGGACUGCCCGAUAGAGGGGGAUAACUACUGGAAACGGUGGCUAAUACCGCAUACUGUCGGAUAACCCAUAUGGGAUUAGCUAGUAGGUAAGGUAAUGGCUUACCUAGGCGACGAUCCCUAGCUGGUCUGAGAGGAUGAUCAGCCCCACUGAGACUGAGACAGGGCCCAGAGUCGUCCGGUGACAUCAGUAUAAAAGAUUGCGAGAUGGGCGAGAGCUCGAUGCAGCGAUGUCGAGUGUAUGAAGAGGUCCCAAGGGUUGUAAAGAAAUGUCUGUCGUGAAGCGUUACCGACAGUAGAAGCACCGCCUAACUCCGUGCCAGCAGCCGCGGUAAUAC